rnacentral:rRNA from 1 species
GUGGGGAAUUUUGGACAAUGGGCGCAAGCCUGAUCCAGCAAUGCCGCGUGCAGGAAGAAGGCCUUCGGGUUGUAAACUGCUUUUGUACGGAACGAAACGGUCCGGGUUAAUACCCUGGGCUAAUGACGGUACCGUAAGAAUAAGCACCGGCUAACUUCGUGCCAGCAGCCGCGGUAAUACGAAGGGUGCAAGCGUUAAUCGGAAUUACUGGGCGUAAAGCGCGCGUAGGUGGUUUUGUAAGUUGGAGGUGAAAUCCCCGGGCUCAACCUGGGAAUUGCGCUUGUGACUGCAAGGUUGGAGUGCGGCAGAGGGGGAUGGAAUUCCGCGUGUAGCAGUGAAAUGCGUAGAUAUGCGGAGGAACACCGAUGGCGAAGGCAAUCCCCUGGGCCUGCACUGACGCUCAUGCACGAAAGCGUGGGGAGCAAACAGGAUUAGAAACCCUGGUAGUCC